rnacentral:rRNA from 1 species
UACGAAGGGGGCUAGCGUUGUUCGGAAUUACUGGGCGUAAAGCGCACGUAGGCGGACAUUUAAGUCAGGGGUGAAAUCCCAGAGCUCAACUCUGGAACUGCCUUUGAUACUGGGUGUCUUGAGUAUGGAAGAGGUGAGUGGAAUUCCGAGUGUAGAGGUGAAAUUCGUAGAUAUUCGGAGGAACACCAGUGGCGAAGGCGGCUCACUGGUCCAUUACUGACGCUGAGGUG